UCCAUUAGUCACCACCAUAGGAACCAUGUUCCCAGAGACAGAUCCUGGUCCCUAUGCAAAAACAGAUCAGCAAGCUGAUGGAGAGUCAAAAUGGAAAAGGCCCAUGAGAGAAUUAUCACAAUACAACAUCUGGUCUGCAUUGGAAAGAGCAGAGAAAGAUAUUCAACAUCUUGGAGACCAAGAGGCAGCUGUGAGGCACUUUCAAAGUCUGUGAAAAAUCGUGCAGGUUGUGGCCACCUGGGCCAAUAUAGUAUUGUUUUGGGAUGAGCUACUCUGCUUUCUAGAAUCUGGAUUUUAAUCUCACUUCAGUACAGAUACAUGAGAGCUGGGAGUGGUAUGAAAGGUGUUUGCUUUUCAUAAUGUUAAUCUGAAUCCCAGCAUUGUCCUAAUUAUAUUGUGGGGUUUUGCCAGUCUCACAAUUUUCUUUUCAGCGUGUUAGCUAGGAGUCAAAAGGCUUUCUCAGGGCUUUUGGCAUAGCUUUAUAGGAAAAAAGGAUGGAAAGGACUUUGUGUAUUUUUGGAAGAAUAUUUUGCAUCCUGCUUUAAACUAUUCCAGAAGGUUAAAGGACAUUAGCUACACUGCAUAUUGGCUAGGGUACUGGUAUGUCAUUAACGGCAAGUUUUGCUUUGUCUAAUUGUUCAGGUUUCUUCAGUCACAGACUAUGAGAAAUGCAAAGAAAUCAUGGAGCAGCCCAGGCAGUAAGGUUACCACUGGAUUCAGAGGGAACAAAGUCCUUCCACCACAUGAAACUUUGGUCCUUUAAGUCAUCAUAGCUCAUGCAGAACAUAAACAAUUUGACAUGUAUAACAAGAAACACUGCAAAUUGUUUUCCAAACAGGCAUAUACUGCAGAUGGAAGAACUGAUGAAAAUUGUUUAUAAAUGAGGAACUAAAUGUAGAUUUUUCGAGAACAAGGUUGCUCUCUUCCUUGCCAAGACAAACAAAUCUGAUAGAACAUCUCAUUGCUUUAGGCUGCCUGAGGACCCACUGGAAAGUCUAUGGACCUUUCUCCACAGUAAAUUUGUGUGUUGUCAGUACAUAAGCGUAUUGUCCACAGUUGCACUGUGGCAGCUGCAGAGGAAGUGGAAGGUUCUCAAGGAAUACAUGAGGGAGAACUAGAUUUUUGGCUCCUAACACAGUAUGGAGUGCUUUUGGAAGCUGUGGAAGUUUAUGAGCUGAAUGUUACUGCUACAAAAGGUUAUCUGUGAGUUAAGCAUAAUGGUAAUUAAUCUGCUAUCUGUAGAUCUUGACACUGACAACAUGAUGAAAUUGAGAAUUCCUGUUCUUUAGAAUUGCAGUUUUCCAAAAUGCCUUCAUUCCUAUAAUGACAGGAUUGUUAGAGGUUUUCAGUGCACAGAUGUUUUUACAAGGCAGUAUAUAGUCAUCCCAAACAACUGUUUUUAAUGGGACAGUUAUUUAAAAAAGCAUGUAACAAGAGCAUAAAUACAGUCCCUGAUACUAACAUAAAACAUGUAUUAGCAAAAUAAUAUAGUUUUAUUUCCCUCAUACGUAGCAGGCCCUGGAAAUAUAAAACUAAUCAUGUCCUUAAAAUACUGUUAUAGCUGUAAACAUCUGGAAAAGAGGACCAGCAGCAUCCUCAGCUGCAUUAGGAAAAACAUUGCCAGCAGGUCAAAGGAGGUGAAUGUUCUCCUUUACUCAGCACUUGUGAGACUUCAGCAGGAGUAAUGUGCCCACUUUUGGGCUCCCCCCAGCAAGGAGGACAUGGACAUACUGGAGUGACUGCAGGUAAGUCCAUGGAGGUGAUUAAGAGACAAGAGCAUCUGUGAUAUGGUUACCCAAAGAGGCUGUGGAGCUGGCAUCCUUAAAGGUACUCAAAACUCAAUUGGGCAAACUCCUAAGCAGCCUUAUUUGGGUGAUUCUGCUUUGAGCUGGGGGUUGAACUGGAUGGUCUCCAGACGUGCUUCCAACCUCAGUGGUACUGUGAAUAUUUGAAGCAGUUUGCUUAUGUCUGGUCAGCAUUUUAGCUGGAACUUGACUGCAUAGGAAUCCUAAAGAAAGCAAAGUCUGUAACCCUAGAAAUACAUCCAGAUGGCUGAGGCCCAGAAAAGGCAUAAUGAGAGCUGCUAAGUAUUUUGAAUGUCUCCUCAGAGUGAUAUUUCACUUAAAAAUACAAAUAUAGAAGUGACUUGGGUCUUCUUAUCAAUGACAUUGAAUACCCAGUGAUCACUAGUAUGAUCUCUUGUUUCAUCUGGACUGUAAAGGGUAAUAGCUUCUCUCUAUUUUAGUUUAAUCUUGCUCUGGAAAAUCUUACCAUAUACCUUAUUUUAUAAAUGAAUAUUUGAUGCUUUAUGGUGCAGAAUUAAUUUGUUGGUUUGUUACAUGCUUUCUUUCCUUAUUAGUACUGAUAUUAAAAUAUUGCAAUGUGUUUUGACAUAUUACUUCAGUAAUAGGCACAUACUAUGUGUCAAGGACUUGAGAAUGUCAUCAUUUGAUCAAGGUAAAAUCAAAAUAUAUAAUUACAUUGCAUAUUCUAUGGCACUUAGUGUCUAACUAUUCUUACAGCACCUUCAGACAACAAAGAUUAAAUUCAGAAAUGGCUUUCAUAUUUUCAUGACACAAGUUUUAUAUAGCAAGGCAAAAUAAUGUAUUUUUUUAGGUCAGCUGAAUAGUGAUAGGAAGAUUUACCUUUGGUUUUCAUCAUGAAAAUGCCAAGGAACUAACUUGCAGUGUUGAGAAUUCCCAGGUCCUCCUUUUGAAAACUCUUUGUCUUUUGUGUUGCCUCUAGGAAAAAGGGAAAACAUUCUGGAAAACAAGAAAUGAAGGAAUGUUGUACAAUGAAUUAAGAAAUAAAUAGAUUAUAGAGCGCUUAAUUUUAGUUUUCUGCACUCCAGAAAAUGAAACACUAAGAAAUAACCUGUUUCUUUAUUAUCAAUAUAUGGAGUCACACUGGGUUUGGCAGACAACGACAGCAGCUUAUGAAUAGCAACUGUGAUAAUUAUUAGAAGACCAUAAAUUUUGCAGUGGCUGAACUCAUCCUAAAAUCACAAAAUUAAGUCUUCAGACAUAAGUAACAUACGAAGGUCAAAUACACUUAGUCAUAAGUUGCUAUCAUCUGCCAUCACUUUUCCAUGACUUAGUGCUCUUACAGCAAAUCUCCUCUGAUUGCAGUAGACUCUGCGUGGGAUGGGGGUUUUGGUGGGGAGAGUGUUACUUUAAAUUGGCACCUCUAGCAGCAGUUCCUAUUUCUAAUGUUUUCCUUUUAUACAUUUAUAGCCUAUUAUAUCUAUCCAAGCCUGGCAUAGCUCCAAGUCACCCAUUUCUCAGUAAUACAGGAAAUUAAAUCUAAAGUCUAAUAAGCACGGAGGCUUAUGCAACCUUCAUUCGCUGAAAAAAGUAUUAUGUAACUUAAUAAUAUUACCUUGUCUUUUGAUGGCUAGAGAGUUGUGCACUUUGUUUCUCUGUAGACCAAAUAGGUUCUGCAUUUGGACUACAGGAGGCUGGGUUGAUCCAGCAUUUUCUGCAAGCUUUCUGAAUGUCACCUCAAUAUUACUCUCUUGUUGAAGGACUCCCUGAAACUUCCAUGUCUACGGUUUGGCGCCCUUCUUCCACUUCUCCCUGUGGUAGGAACCCAGUCCGUUCCCUGGUGCAAGGCCUGUGUACCCUGUAUUCUUACCCCAGGGGUGCUGAGUGCUCUCACUCAUUCUUCCCCCCGGGAUUUUCUCCAGCCUGACCAGAUUUCUGCCUAUUCUAUCCCAUUUUCUAUUAAUACCCCCUGCAGUUCUGUGUUGGUGGGUGCAGCAUUUGAAAGUGCAGAAAUCUGGCUUGAGACCACGCAGAUUAGCACCAUAAUUUCAGGGUCUUGUCUCCUGCAUGUAUCGGUUUAUUAAGUGGAUUUAUACUGAAUAAUUUUAAACUGUUGCAGCCUUCUGAAACUGUUUCUGUAACACACAGAGUGACAUAAGGUCACCGGUGCUGUGGAAAUUGGUUUUGCAGCUGAUAUGUUAAUUCAGCAAGAGAUGAGUUCUUGCAGAACACGAAGAAAAUGAUUUUAAUAUAGUGCCAUGCUACUUCAUUGGCUUUCAGGAAAGAGGUAAUUAAGACAUUCAAGGGAGAUUCAGGUCUCUGGAGAAAGUACCAUUAUGGAAAUACAAGGUUAUUUUUACUGCACAGCUUAUUAGCUGCUUUUCUAAAAGCAAAUCAACUGAAUGUGGUGGACUCAAAAUAACAUUUUCACCUGCUCAGGAAGAUGAGAGAUAAGGUACUUCUGUAAACUGAGUUCAAUAUAAGACUUGUCACGGUCUCUCCUGUGUCACUCACCCCAGGUUUACAGUAACCACUGCUGCAGUUUUCUGGAUGACAGCUUUCAUCCAAAUACAUCCAGGGCCCUUAAUAUGGCUCUACUAGUGCAACUAAUUGCAAUGAGGAACAGAAUUACAUUCAUGAUGCCUGAGGAGAAGGAGAAUCUCUGCACUCGGUAUGAAUAAGGGGUAGCAAAGGCCUAAUUUUUCAGAAAUAAUUAAGUUAAAUUGAAAAUAAUUUUAAUAGCCAAUCCCAAAGAAAAAUCACCAGGAAUUUAGAAGCCCUGUAUUUUUUCCAAACAGUGCGCUUAUACCAGGGAAUUACUGAGCACCAAAAGUAUAAUAACUGUUAUAUUUACUGUAUGAAGAUACGAAAGGAAAACAAUUUUACCAGCAUAAACUGCUUCAUCUUUUUGAGAUGAAGAAUGAACAAAAUAAAAUUGAGUUUCUAAGAAACAAUUCUAAAAAAUCUCUAUUAUAAAAAUUGUAUUAGAUUUUACAAGGUAUUUUAAUAUUGAGAUAAUAACGGAGAAAAUGGCAUUUUACUCUAUGUUCUUUCAUAAAACAGGUACGAUAGUGCUAUUCCCAGAGGAAAGACACCAGUUCCAACAAGAGUAGUGUCUGUUCUAGAAUUAAGGAUAACUUCUCAAAAUAUCUACAUAAACAAGAAGGUUAAAAAGCUUAAUGUGAAAAUAACAAUCUCUUCUUGAACAGCAUCUACUGUGUCCAGCCUAUUCUGUUUCAGAUGGCCCAGGAGCACAAACAGGUAUGACAUCAUAUCAUUUUACAUCAUUAAUGGAAGUGUUUCCUUUCAAAACUACAAUGUUAUUUUCUGCCCAAGCUUUCUUUCAUUAAUUCCAAAGUUAUUUUGACCCAACCAUCUCUAUGUAUGUUUAGCUAUGUUACCUAAACACGGUUUUCCAGUACUUUCUAGUAUGGACUUUAUACUGAACAAUUUGUUUAAUUGCAUUACAUGACAUUUUAAUAAACUAACUUUCUAAAAAU